AGCGAACAAGUGCAUGUGGUGGAUGCCUUGGCGAUUACAGGCGAUGAAGGACGCGGUAGCCUGCGAAAAGCUUCGGGGAGCUGGCAAACGAGCUUUGAUCCGGAGAUGUCCGAAUGGGGAAACCCGGCCCGAAUGGGUCAUCCCUGACUGAAUACAUAGGUCAGGGAAGCGAACGCGGCGAACUGAAACAUCUAAGUAGCUGCAGGAACAGAAAUCAACCGAGAUUCCCAAAGUAGUGGCGAACGAAAUGGGAAGAGCCUUGUACUCUUUAGCAGCAUUGUUAGCAGAACGGGAUGGAAAGCCCGGCCAUAGCAGGUGAUAGCCCUGUAUGCGAAAACAGCGUUGUGGAACUAGGUGUACGACAAGUAGGGCGGGACACGUGAAAUCCUGUCUGAAGAUGGGGGGACCAUCCUCCAAGGCUAAAUACUCGUAAUCGACCGAUAGUGAACCAGUACCGUGAGGGAAAGGCGAAAAGAACCCCGGGAGGGGAGUGAAAUAGAUCCUGAAACCGCAUGCAUACAAACAGUCGGAGCCUGGAAACGGGUGACGGCGUACCUUUUGUAUAAUGGGUCAGCGACUUACAUUCAGUGGCAAGCUUAACCGAUUAGGGAAGGCGUAGCGAAAGCGAGUCCGAAUAGGGCGUUGAGUCGCUGGGUGUAGACCCGAAACCAGAUGAUCUAUCCAUGGCCAGGUUGAAGGUGCGGUAACACGUACUGGAGGACCGAACCCACUAACGUUGAAAAGUUAGGGGAUGAGCUGUGGAUAGGGGUGAAAGGCUAAACAAACUUGGAAAUAGCUGGUUCUCUCCGAAAACUAUUUAGGUAGUGCCUCGUGUCUCACCUUCGGGGGUAGAGCACUGUCAUGGUUGGGGGGUCUAUUGCUGAUUACCCCGCCAUAGCAAACUCCGAAUACCGAAGAGUGCAAUCACGGGAGACAGACAUCGGGUGCUAACGUCCGGUGUCAAGAGGGAAACAACCCAGACCGCCAGCUAAGGUCCCAAAGUCAUGGUUAAGUGGGAAACGAUGUGGGAAGGCCCAGACAGCCAGGAUGUUGGCUUAGAAGCAGCCAUCAUUUAAAGAAAGCGUAAUAGCUCACUGAUCGAGUCGUCCUGCGCGGAAGAUGUAACGGGGCUAAGCCAGUCACCGAAGCUGCGGACGCACGCAAGUGCGUGGUAGGAGAGCGUUCUGUAAGCCUGUGAAGGUGUCUUGUAAAGGAUGCUGGAGGUAUCAGAAGUGCGAAUGCUGACAUGAGUAGCGAUAAAGGGGGUGAAAGGCCCCCUCGCCGUAAGCCCAAGGUUUCCUACGCAACGUUCAUCGGCGUAGGGUGAGUCGGCCCCUAAGGCGAGGCAGAGAUGCGUAGCUGAUGGGAAGCAGGUUAAUAUUCCUGCACCGUCGUAUGAUGCGAUGGGGGGACGGAUCGCGGAAGGUUGUCCGGGUGUUGGAAGUCCCGGUCCCUGCAUUGGAGAAGGCGCUUAGGCAAAUCCGGGCGCGGAAUUCAAGGAUGUGGGGCGAGCGGCCUAGUGCUGCGAAGCAAUUGGAAGUGGUUCCAAGAAAAGCCUCUAAGCUUCAGUCAUACGAGACCGUACCGCAAACCGACACAGGUGGGCGAGAUGAGUAUUCUAAGGCGCUUGAGAGAACUCGGGAGAAGGAACUCGGCAAAUUGGUACCGUAACUUCGGGAUAAGGUACGCCCUUGUAGCUUGACUGGCCUGCGCCAGGAGGGUGAAGGGGUUGCAAUAAAAUGGUGGCUGCGACUGUUUAAUAAAAACACAGCACUCUGCAAACACGAAAGUGGACGUAUAGGGUGUGACGCCUGCCCGGUGCCGGAAGAUUAAAUGAUGGGGUGCAAGCUCUUGAUUGAAGUCCCGGUAAACGGCGGCCGUAACAAUAACGGUCCUAAGGUAGCGAAAUUCCUUGUCGGGUAAGUUCCGACCUGCACGAAUGGCGUAACGAUGGCCACACUGUCUCCUCCCGAGACUCAGCGAAGUUGAAGUGUUUGUGAUGAUGCAAUCUCCCCGCGGCUAGACGGAAAGACCCCAUGAACCUUUACUGUAGCUUUGCAUUGGACUUUGAACCGAUCUGUGUAGGAUAGGUGGGAGGCUUUGAAGCGUGGACGCUAGUUCACGUGGAGCCGUCCUUGAAAUACCAUCCUGGUUUGUUUGAGGUUCUAACCUUGGCCCGUGAAUCCGGGUCGGGGACAGUGCAUGGUAGGCAGUUUGACUGGGGCGGUCUCCUCCCAAAGUGUAACGGAGGAGUUCGAAGGUACGCUUGGUACGGUCGGACAUCGUACCUAAAGUGCAAUGGCAAAAGCGUGCUUAACUGCGAGACCGACAAGUCGAGCAGGUGCGAAAGCAGGACAUAGUGAUCCGGUGGUUCUGAAUGGAAGGGCCAUCGCUCAACGGAUAAAAGGUACUCUGGGGAUAACAGGCUGAUACCGCCCAAGAGUUCAUAUCGACGGCGGUGUUUGGCACCUCGAUGUCGGCUCAUCGCAACCUGGAGCUGGAGUCGGUUCCAAGGGUUGGGCUGUUCGCCCAUGAAAGCGGUACGUGAGCUGGGUUCAGAACGUCGUGAGACAGUUCGGUCCAUAUCCGGUAUAGGCGCAAGAGCAUUGAGAGGAUCUCGACGUUGUACGAGAGGACCCGAAGGGACGUACCGAUGGUGUACCAGUUCUCGUGCCAACGGGAAACGCUGGGUAGCUAAGUACGGAAAGGAUAAUCGCUGAAAGCAUCUAAAUGAGAAGCCUACCUCAAGAUGAAUGCUCUCUAUCAGAUCACGGCAAGACAAGCCGUUUGAUAGGCGUCAAGUGUAAAACCUGUAAGGGUACUAGCUGA
rnacentral:rRNA from 1 species